UUUUGUAGGAUUUUUGAGCCCAAAUGGAAUUAUUGCAAGAGGCCCAAGUUACACCACCCCAAUCUCUAACCCAUAAGCCAAAAUACCUUACCCAUACCCAUACCCAAACCCAUCAGAUUUGUCUCUCAUUUUUUGAACAAAAGACAAGACUAAAAACCCUAGAAGGGACUUCAUCUUCUUCAUGGACAAGAGACAAAACAAAAAACAAACCCUAAGACCAUCUUCUUCCUCAUGAACCUUAGAACAAGACAAUAAUGGAGCAAAAACCUAAAACCCAAGAGACCUAGAGCAACCAUCUGUCAGCCAGCCGCCGCCGCCUUACCCGCAUAAACCCUAGACCUCCAACUCCAAACGCCCACCAUUAGACAGCAGCCGUCGGGUGCUUCCAGCUCCCACCUCCGUCUCUUCCACGCCCAGCCGUCACCUUCUCCGACACCAGCGACCAUCUCCUCUAGAACACAAACCAACAACAGCCUCAUUAUCUUCUUCUCCAACUCGAAUAACCCUAGACCCCUAAGUUGCCGGCUAGCCUGAACCUGCCGGAAAACAGCCGCAACACCCAACAACCAGACCCCACCACUCCCAGAACCGUCGUCAGCCACCAACAGCUCCUUAUCCACCUUAUCGACCAAAGACCUUUCAGCUUCUCUUUCUUUUUCGAACCUAGAUACACACAGCCGCCUAUUCGUCUUCUUCGGAACUCCCUCAACAACACACGCACACCCAGAAACAGAGUGAGGGAGAAUGGGAUAAGAGAGGGAGAACCAGCAGAUUGCCGCACACCCUUGAGCUCCAUAAAAACAGUGAGAACAAGGAAAAUUUAGACUAUGGAGUCAAGCUAAGGUUAUUGAAAUCGACGUUGUCCGGAGUGGUUUUGAGUGUGAUUCGGAGUCGAGGUUCACGGUUCCGGUUUUGAUUGUUGUUUUCCUAUUCGUCUUCUGUCGCACUUUAAAAUUCCAAUGUCGGUCUGCCUGUUUUCGUUCUUGAACAUAUUAAAUCAAAAGUUGCUCGCAUUUAGGUUCAUAUCCUUGCUCUUUCUCUUAUUUUAUUACAGUAUUGAACAUGAAUUUGAGGUGCUUGAUUUUUCUUAAGUUCCUACUGAUGAUCUGAUUGCUUUCGUUCGUGACUUGAAUAUCAUGAGACUGUUAAGUACAUUUUGAGUAAUUUAAGUUUGAUGUGUACAUGAUACAUGAAUAGAAUUCGCUUGUUCAUGUGCUUCAUAUGUUGAAUGUUUGUGUUCAUAUUAUCGUGUACGUUUCUCUUUAGGGAGUACUUGGUCGUGGGAAGUUGGUAAGAUCGAAUCCCGUUAGAGAUUAAACAUUGUUCGCGUGCUUUAGGAAUCGGGCUCGGUCUAAACUAUGAAACAAGAAGUUGAAGAAAAAUGAGCAUGGACUAAUUUUAUUUUAGUUUUAUUUUAUUUUAUUUUAUUAUAAUUUCCAUUACCCGCUAGUAGCAUGCUUAGGCCGACCAUAUUUGGGUAGGCAAUCUUAGCAUUUUUCUAUUUGUUUGCUUUUAAUUUUGAGGCAAGAGGUCGUUUCUCGUAGUUAAAUCUAUCUGAGGAAUGCACCGAAGAAUUUGUAAUAUAUUUUUAUCCGGGGUAUGCUCCGAAGUAUCAUGUAUUUGGAGGUCAUGACGAACAUUGUGGAGGAAUUACAAUGUAGGAUAGCUUUUAUUUUUAUUUUUAUUUUUAUUUUAUUAGGUGGGGACGACCUCGAGCCUCUUGUGUGUUUGUUUUUCUUUUCUGUGUUUAGUUAUACCUCAAUUUGAAUAUUUUAAAAGCCAACUAGAUCGAAUACGCAACCGUGACUUUCACGGGACUUGGGGAGUGGAUAGCACCUUCUCCCCGAGUCAAAUAAACCCCCUUAUCCAAAUCUCUGGUGUAGACCUAGUUUUAGAGUUCAAAGUGUUUUGAAAGGAAAAAUUAUUUUAAAAACGUUGACCUGGCACACCGAAAUCAAUGCCAGGUGGCGACUUUGAGUUAAUCCUUUUGAAACGAAUUUUUGUCACUUUCAAUAUUGGAAAACCCUUUUCAAGCUUUACUAAAUCCUUUUAUAUUUUAAGAGGGUUAAGUGAGGUUUUUUAAAAAAAAAAAGGGUGUGACAUCUCUGGCGACUCCGCUGGGGUGUUGCAGGUUCGAGCUAGUACUUGAUCUUGUUGGCUUUUAGGAUAUUAGGUUGAGGUUUUUAUGUGUUUUGUUUGCUUUAUUUGAUUUUUAUUUUGUUUAUGUCUUUUAUUAUUUUCUAGCUGCUUAUUUGUUUACAAUUUUUUCGUAAUGUGUUACUGCUUUAUAAACUGUCAUCAUUUGCAUAACCAUGGGUCUUCUUUCUGAAACAAGUCUCGGAGUACGCGUCGCGUGCACGAACUCUUUGUUGAGUCACCCUUACUUUAGGAGGGGGGCCGUCGGACAUAUGGAGUGGGUGGAAAGCUUGAGCAGCCACCAUCGAUCAUACGCUCCCUCGAAUUGCCUUGUUAGUGAACCCCAAACUUAGGUCAGCCUUUAGGUCUCUUUUAUUUGCAUCAUUCCAUUUACACCUAGCAGGGCUCUGUCCCCGGUACCGUGUCCCUUUAUAGGAAGCCUAUUCAAAUUUUGUCAAAAUGGGCCCGUGGCCCAAAAAGACAUUCAAUCAUCCCAAUAUGAUGCAUUUUGCAUCUUUGGGGGUAAAAGGUCAUUUGGCGGACCAUUGUUUGGGAAAGAAGGGUGAAAAUGAAGCAAGUAGGGCCCAAUUAUAUUUUUCUUUUACAACUUUUUCAAGAAAAGACAAAAAAAUGAAAAUGAAGAAAAAUCCAAAAAGAUUUUGCACUUUCCCAUUAUUUUUCAAAAAAAUCAAAAAAAAAUGAAAAUGAAAAAUUCAAAAAGAUUUUACACUUUUCCAUUAUUUUCCAAAAAUUCAAAAAAAAUGAAAAAGAAAAUCCAAAAAGAUUUUACAUUUUUCAUCAUUUUUUCAAAAAGACCAAAAAUAUGGUUUUUCCAAAUUAGUCGCAUUUUAAAGGCUUUCUUCCAUGUCCAACCUUCCCGAACUACGCGAACCUGAUUCUCGUCUUCCGGGGUGGGAUACAUAGGCAACCCACAUAGGGUCCGGUCUUCCUAGUAAGUCUUAGGUUCUUGGCUUUGCGGGGUCCUAGCCAAAUCUUGUAUGUUUAGCCACUUUUGGCCUCAUCGGCCAUUCUUGCAAAUGAGGUCAUUUUCGCAAAAAGUGGUCCAAUUAUCCAUGUCUUAGAAUCUUGAGUCCACAACUAGGUGUCAUACUACUUUAAGGUCCGUCCUAUUGAGUUUGCAUCUUUAGUCACUUCUGGCCAUAUCAGCCGUUUUUGCAAAAUGGGUCGUUUCUGCAAAUUGAUUUUGGGCCAUGAUUAUUGGGAGUUGAAUUCAUUUAAGCCUUAUUGAGGUAUUCUCAUGUCUUUUAUGUCACAUUUGUUGAGUUUGUGCUAAUAGCCAUCCUUGGCCACAUAGGUUAAUUUUGCAAUAGUAGCACAAUCUUGUCUUGCAUGUGUUCAAUAGGAGGCGUGGCGCCACAUGUGUCUUGAGUCACUAACUCUAUUUGAUCUUAUUUUUUCCAUUCAGGUAUAUAUCAAUUUGCUAGAAUUUGAG
rnacentral:lncRNA from 1 species